UACAGAGGUCUCGAGCGUUAGGCGGAAUCACUGGGCUUAAAGCGUGUGUAGGUGGAUGCCUAAGUACCUUGUGAAAUCCCACAGCUUAACUGUGGAACUGCUUGGUAUACUGGGUGUCUUGAGUCACUCAGGGGCGAGCGGAACAAAUGGUGGAGCGGUGAAAUGCGUAGAUAUCAUUUGGAACGCCAAUGGUGAAAACAACUCGCUGGGAAUGAUCUGACGCUGAGACGCGAAAGCCAGGGGAGCGAACGGG
rnacentral:rRNA from 1 species